GGUUGAGUGGGAGCCCUGCUGCGGGUGAGCACGAGCCCCGCUUCCGGUGAGCACGAGUCCUGCUUUGGUUGAGCUGGAGCCCUGCUUCUGAUGAUAAUCCAACAUUACCUGACUUAAGAAGAACCAGGAAAUUCUGACCCAUUCUCCAAAGCAGAGUGUUACGUCUCCAGAGGCAAGAGAAAAGCAAAAAUGGAAUAUUGGGACCUCAUCAAAAUAAAAAGCUUCUGCACAGUGAAGGAAACAAUCAGCAAAACUAAAAGGCAACUGAUGGAAUGGGAGAAGAUAUUUGCAAAUGACAUAUCAGAUAAAGGGUUAGUAUCCAAAACCUAUAAAGAACUUAACAAACUUGAUACCCAAAAAACAAAUAAUCCAGUGAGGAAAUGGGCAAAAGACAUGAAUAGACACUUCUCCAAAGAAGAUAUCCAGAUGGCCAACCGACACAUGAAAAAAUGCUCAACAUCACUCAUCAUCAGGGAAAUACAGAUCAAAACCACAAUGAGAUACCACCUCACACCUGGUAGAAUGGCUAAUGUUAACAACUCAGAUAGAAACAGAUGUUGGCGAGGAUGCGGAGAAAGAGGAUCUCUUUUGCACUGCUGGUGGGAAUGCACACUGGUACAGCCACUCUGGAAAGCAGUAUGGAGCUUCCUCAAAAAAUUAGAAAUAGAAGUACCCUAUGACCCAGCAAUUGCACUACUAGGUAUUUAUCCAAGGGAUACAGGUAUGCUGUUUUGAAGGGGCACAUGCACCCCAAUGUGUAUAGCAACACUACCAACCAUAGCCAAAGUAUGGCAAGAGCCCAAAUGUCCACUGAUGGAUGAAUGGGUAAAGAAGAUGUGGUAUAUAUAUACAAUGGAGUAUUCCUUGGCAAUCAAAAAGAAUGAAAUCUUGCCAUUUGCAACCAUGUGGAUGGAACUAGAGAGUAUUGUGCUAAGUGAAAUUAGUCAGAGAAAGGCAAAUAUGAUUUCACUCAUGUGAGAACUUUAAGAGACAAAACAGAUGAACAUAAGGGAAGGGCAGCAAAAAUAAUAUAAAACAGGAAGGGGGACAAAACAUAAGAGACUCUUAAAUAUGGAGAACAAACAGAGGGUUACUAGAGGGAUUGUGGGAAGGGGAUAGGCUAAAUGUGUAAGGAGCAUUAGGGAGUCUACUUCUGAAAUCAUUGUUGCACUAUAUGCUAACUUGGAUGUAAAUUAAAAAAUUAAAAUAAAAUAAAAUAAAAUAAAAUAAAAUAAAAUAAUGCAGUGUUAGUUCUUAGUAAGUUCUAAGUUCUAAUGCAAAUAGAAUGCAUAUUGUAAUUCCUAGAGAAAAAAAUAGGACAUAUAUAAAAAGUCAAUAGAAGAACUAACAUGGAAUUCUAAAGUUAUUUAAAUAACUUAAAAAGGUAAGAAAGGAAAAAUAGGAGCAAAAAAUGCGAUAGGGGACAAAUAAUAAAACAAAUAAAUAAAACAAAUAAAAAAAUAAUAAAACAAAUAAUAAAAUAGGCCCAACUCAACCAUAGUAAUAACUACAUUAAGCAUUAGUGGACUAAAUACUCCAAUUAAAGAGCAGAGAAUGUCAGACUGAUAAAAAAGUAAAAAAAGUAAAACCUAUGAUGUGAUUUAAAUAUAAAGAGGUUGGUAAGUUGAAGCAAAUCAGUGGACGCUUACCAUGAAAUAGUAAGCAUGAGAAGGCUGAAAUGUUUGUGUUUGUACUAGAUAAGUUCAUUUUCACCCAAGAGUAUUAUCAAAGAUAAAAGGAGCCCUUUCUUAAUGACUAAAGCAUUCAUUCAUCAAGAACACUACAGUCAUGAAUAUGUAUGUGCCUACCAAAACACAUGUGACUUCAAAACACAUGAAGAAAAAGUUGCCAAAAUUAAAGAGAAGCACAAAUUCAUGAUAUAAAACACUCAACAAAUGUGGAUAAAAUCAUCUAAGAAAAACUGACAGUUAACAUCAUACUUGAAUGACUGAACAUUUUCCCUCUAAGAUCAGAAAUGAGACAAGAGUGCCUGUUUUCACCACUUUGCAUCCCAUUGUAUUGGAGGUUUUAGCAAGGGCAGCUAGGCAAGAAAAAGAAAUAAAAGGGACCCAGGCUGUAAAGGAAGAAGUAAAACUGUCACUUUUUACAGAUGACAUAACCUUAUAUAUGUAGAAAAUUCUAAGGAAUCCAGUAACUAUUAGAAUAAAUGAGUUAAAGAAGUUUAUAGUUGCAGGAUGCCAAAUCAAUAUACAAAAAUCAAUUGCAUUUCCAAACACUAGCAAUGAACAAUCUGAAAGUGAAUUUAAGGAAACAAUUCCAUUUACAAUAGCAUCAAAAAGAAUAAAAUAGGAAUGGGAUGCCUGGGUGGCUCAGUCAGUUAUGUGUGCACUCUUGAUCUCUGCUCGGGUCUUGAUCUCAGGAAUGUGAGCGCAAGCCCCAUGUUGGGCUCCUUCCACACUAGGCAGGAAGCCUACUUAAAAAAAAUAGUAAUAAAUUUUGGGGAAAUGGAAGACUGGCACACUGAAAUCUACAAAAUAUUGUUGCAAGAAACUAAAGAUCUAAUGAAAUGGAAAGACAUCUCAUGUUCAAAACAUUUAUGGGUGUACAUCAAAGGCAUACAGGAGCCAACCGAAAUGGCCCAGAUUGAAACAAUUUGAGCAGCAAAUUGUGUUGAAUUGGAUUAUAACUCAAAUGCAAAGUAAACAUUCAUGAGUCCAUACUGGUUUAAAUUAAUGAUUGAAAAUAAAUAAAUAAAUGAAUAAAUGGGAAGAAUAGACAAAUCUGUGCAAAAGAUUUGGAAGUGAUUUAUAUAGAUACUCUGCCUUCAAGGAGAAGGAGCCUAACUCCCUACUCCCUUAAGUGUGUAGGCUGUGCAUGGUGAUUUCCUUCCAAAGCAUACAGUAUACGAAGGGGAAUAAAAUAACAAUUUUACAGUGGAGCAACCUGACAAACACAUUAGCUGGGAGAUCAAGGGCAACAUCAUCAGUAAUAAAUCAUUGAAAGUAUGUACCCUUGAUAUGAUGUGAUGAAAAUGUCACUUUACCUCUGUGAUCUUUCUUCUCCAAAAUUCACAGCCCCACUCUAAUUAUGAGAGAAACAUCAGACAAUUUGCAAUAGAGGGACACCCUGCAAAAUACCUGACCAGUAAUUUUCAAAAUUGUCAAGGUUAUCAAAAACAAGAAAAAUCUAAAAGGAGCCUAAGUAGAUACGAUAGUUAAAAGUAAUGUAGUUUUCUCUGUGGGAUCCUGGAACAAAAAAUGGACAUUAGGUAAGAACUGAGGAAAUCUGAAUAAACUAUGAGAUUUAAUAAUGUAUCAUUAUUGAUUCAUUUAAUUAUAACAAGUUUACCAUAUUAAUGUAAGAAAUUAGAGGGUAUGGAGUAUGUGGAAACUUUGUAUUAUCUUCUCAAUCUUUCUGUUAAUCUAAAACUGUUCUUAAAAACAAUGUCUAAUGUAGUUAUCUGUGGAAACAGUGACUCCUGAGAGUGUGUGUCUCCUUUUAGGGACAGGGUGAAAUCUUUGUAUAAAGGAUUGUUGCAUCUUAUUAGAUGGAAACAGUUGGUUUUUGGUUUCUUAAAUGUUCAAAUGUAUGUGUAAGGAUAAAUCUGGAAGCUGAGUAGAAAAAUGGGUGGAAUAGGGUGCCUUGGGUAGCUCCAUUGGUUAAACACCUGACUCUUGAUCUCAGCUCAGGUCAUGAGUUUAAGCUCCACAUUGGGCUUGGGCCCCACACUGGCCAUGAAGCCUACUUAGAAAAAAGGGGGGAAAAAAGAAAAAGAUAAAAGAAAAAUGGAUGGGCUGUGUUAGUGUAAUGCUUCAUCUUUUAUUUUAAAGUUUAUGUUGAGAGAGAAAGAAAGAGGACAGGGGAGGGGUAGAGGGAGAGGGAGAGAAUCCCAAGCAGGCUCUGCACUGUCAGGACAGAGCCCGACAUGGGUCUUGAUCCUACCAAACAGGAGAUCAUGACCUGAACUGAAACCAAGGGUCAGAUGUUCAACCAACUGAGCCACCCAGGAGCCCCGAGGCUUCGUCUUUAUCUUCACCAUUUAAUGCUUCAUCUCCAAAUCCAUCUUAUGCCCCGCCUUAUGAUCCUGACCCUGUAAACAUCUCUCCUUUGCCAGUUGACGCAGUGUUAGGUUUGCCAAUAGAGGGUGCUGGAGGGCUGCUGCGAGGCAAUAGUGCAAGGCACCUCACUCCCAUUUUUCAGUUUUCCUUCCUUUUCACUGAACACAGGAGUCAGUGGAUUGAUGUGUGGGAUAGUACAGCCUCACUUCAGCUGCCUGGACUGACCAGCUUCAGCUUUGUACUCAGGCCCCCUCUGCCCUCCUGGCAGCUAAUUCCACAGCAGCUCCAGCUUCACCCAUAGGUAAAAGACCAGCUCCAGCCUUCUGUAUCCUCUGGCCAUGCUGGGCCACUUCUAUGCACCAACACUGGUCCAUGCCCUUUGGGAAGGGGCCAGAGAUCUGCCGGCCAGAUUCUGGCUCAUGUUGCCUGAGGCCAGCUGGUAUUACGCAGUCCCUCCUUGCAGACUACAUCUCUUCCUUUCUGAACCAUUAGUUAAUUCAUUCUUUAUUGAUCACUUACUAGGUGCCAGGCAGUGUUCUAAUAAACACUUGUGUGCAAACAAUCAAACAAAAAAAAAUCAAUGCUUUAGUCACAAGGAUGGCAGACCUACAAAAGAAUGUGCAGAUGUGACAAGUCACUUAUGCUAAACUCAGAGCCAUGGGAGGGAAGGAAUGGGACCAUUGGAUAGGGUGUUUGUGUUGAAGUGUCUCUGAAAUUUGAACCUCCAGAUUUCCCAGAUCCCAGUCUCCUCCAGGAGAGGAGCUGUCUCCUGCUAUAGAACAACUGCCCUUGCAAACAAUCCAUCUGAGGUUGAUGUUUGGCAGGUUUAAGCUUGUCCUCAUUAGGAUCUGCUUCUUUUACCUCUCAUUACUUCCACACCAGUAACCAAGAUAAGGUCUCAUCAUAGCCUCAAAAGAGAAAUUCAGUUUCUGCUCUGAGAGGAAACAGACUAGUCACUGAAGGACUUGCAGGACCUGAGUAAAAUGCACUGGUAUGAUCCAGGGAAGAUGUGUGAGGAUGGAUUUUGAGAGCGUUAGGUGGAGGGCAGUACAAUAAGGCAGAGUAGGAGAGAAUUGG